rnacentral:rRNA from 1 species
AGGACGAACGCUGGCGGCGUGCUUAACACAUGCAAGUCGAGCGGAAAGGCCCUUCGGGGUACUCGAGCGGCGAACGGGUGAGUAACACGUGAGCAACCUGCCCCUGGCUCUGGGAUAGCCUCCGGAAACGGGGAUUAAUACCGGACAUUCUCCUUCUUCCGCAUGGUUGAGGGUGGUAAAGUUUUUCGGCCGGGGAGGGCUCGCGGCCUAUCAGCUUGUUGGCGGGGUAACGGCCCACCAAGGCGACGACGGGUAG